GGGAAAAAAUACAGUCAGGGGAGUCUGUAAUUGCACUGCAGGUCUAAAGCUCCCAAGAGGUUGAAAUUUGGUGCUUUUCUCGCUCCUUUUUGUGUCAGUCUAUCACCUGAAUAAUUGUGUUAUGCUGUUUGUUUGCCACCAUCAGCUGUGAAGCUGAUCAGUCCUUACCAGUCCAGCACAACGCUUGAGGAGCAAAGGCUCUCUGGGCACUGCACUUGCCAGCCAAAUUUUCAAAAGAGCCCAGUUUGCUGACAUAAAUGGGGUUGCUGAUGUGCCGAAGGAGAAGGAAGCGCCGGAGAACAUAUUCCUCCCUAGAUCCUAUAAUUUUAAUUGGAGUGGGCUACGGCUUAAUUAACAUGUAUUGAUUGUAGUCCUGAGUGCAUCUAUAGGUGGGUGGACUGUGUUGGGAGAAAUCCUCCUCAGAGAUGAAGAUUUGCUGAUAACAUUCUGAAUAAUUGUCUUGUGAAGAGACAGAAGUCUUUGCUGUUUUCUCUGCAGAAAGCUUUAAACAAAAGGUAUUGUUUAUAAUUAAGGCAAAAAAAAAAAUUUGACACGGCUGCUUUUUUACAGAUGGGAAGAGAAUUCUGCUGCAAAAAUAUUAAUGAAUUGACUCAUUAAUUAGGUGCACGAAGAAAACAGAAAAUUGGAAGAGAGUUGGAGCAAAUAAAGAAGUGGAUGCAACUGGAAACUUUUUGGGGGAUAAAAAGAUGGGUCAGGCUGUCUCCCCUGAGCCGGGGAUGUACCUGCAGAGCUGUGGGUGAGGAGCAGCUGGGAGAAUCCUCCUGUCUUGGGCCUCCAUCCCUCUGUUCUUGGGAGCCGUGUCCAUCCUCAGGGAUGCGGGAUGUGCCCGCGAAGCGUGACUUGGAUUUCCACUGCAGUGAAAAUGGAGAAUAAACCACCGGUGCAAUCCAGGAGCAACAGGAAGGAAAGUGACAUCUGAGCAGUCCCCAGGCUGUCCUCCUCUGCCUGAAAUAACUCCUGUAGCAGAGCAGAGCCUGGAGGUAUCUUGGAUCCUGUUGGGCAUCCAAGGGAUGCUGAAAAACUGGUUGCUGCUGGAGGAAGAGCAUCUGAGGGGCAGUGACACAUGGCCUGAGCUGCAGGAUGGGCUCCCAGCAACCUGGAUUUUGAAGGAGCCCCCUCCCUGCUCACUGCACAGCAAUAGCUCCUGCUAGCACGUCCCAGGAGCAGCAAAAAAUGGCUCAGGCUUGUGUGGAAAUGGAAGAAUGAAGUGAGAGUUCAUUUUUCCUCUCUCUCCCAACCAGGAGAUUCAUGAGGUGGCUGGGUGAGUCUAAGGGAACUUGCAGUCUUUUCAUCAUGUUGAUGGGUGGAUGGAUGGUGUGG
rnacentral:lncRNA from 1 species